UCUGUCUUCGUACGCAUAUAAGCAGCCAAAUGUACAUGCAUAUGCAUAUCAGAAGGCUGCAAUAUUCCUGAAGAUAAGGUCCCAGGCACAAUCAUGACGAGCAAGAAAACUUAAAAGGAAGAUAAGGCCAUUCUAAUUGCAGCCAAGACACGGAGUGUGCAAUUCCAUCCAACAUGCACUAGCAGUCCUAAAAAGAAGGGCUCCAAAUGGCUACAAAGCCUAUAAACCUAGAAGACCUAAAAACUAGAUGCAUGAUGGACAAAAAGAAAGAAGAAGAAAUAAUGGAGGUGCAUUCUCCCGGAAGCUAUCCAGAGAGCUGCUCUCUCGCCUAUAAAAGGAGGUGUUUGCUGCGAAGAGAGACAUGAGAUGGAGAAGAACCACCAGCCACCGAUAGAGCAAAGUGCUGCGACCCAGCUAGCAAGCUCGUUGCUCAGUAGUAGUGGUAGUAGUAGUUCCUCAUCCUGCAAUAAGAGUCACAAUAUCCAGAGCAUUGUAAGGCUCAAGAAGGUAGUUAGACGGAUCUAUUUAGGGCUGGCAAGGCCAACAAUACGUCCGAUGAUGUGCGCAGAGGUGUAAAAUCCUACUCAGUACUCACCAUAUUUUCCAUUAUGUUAUAUCAGAUGUAGCUAGUUACGUUCACUUAGUAGUUUUAAUUGCAAAUUUUCGGGGUAAAGUCAUAUCAUCUUCCCAGGGAGUUCCACCCGAAGGGAACACUUCUCUAGGGCCACAAGGUUGUCAUUCAAACGCCACUCUGGGCUACACAGAGAACUACAGACGCAAAGGUUUCUUCUAUAGGAUCCCUAGCAUAAGAAACUCGUCCCAUAAAUUCAUAAAUAAAAAUACCAAGUAAAACCAAGAAACUACAUCAUUUUCACAACAUAAUUUACAUAUGGCUUUCCCUUUCGGGAGGCCCCGAAGGGAUUACACAAGCUAAAGGAAAUUACCUUCUAACUACCUUCUUGAGCCUUACAAUGCUCUGGAUAUUGUGGCUCUUAUUGCAGGAUGAGGAACUACUACUACUACUGAGCAACGAGCUUGCUAGCUGGGUCGCAGCUCUUUGCUCUAUCGGUGGCUGGUGGUUCUUCUUCGUCUGGUGUCUCUCUUCGGAGCAAACGCCUCCUUUUAUAGCUGCUGCAACACAAAAAAUGGCACAUAACAACGGGGGUGAUGUGGAUAUCAUGAUGAGUGGUGUGGGGACAAACCAACAGGGUGAACAAGCACACACGGCAAGCUUUGGUUCUGCAAACAUCAACAAUACAAACGAAGGUAAAAAAAUUACCAUGCUACCACCUUUUUAUUCCCAGACUUGUUACCAUCUGUCGGUGUUCUGGGAACGGGGGUCCCCAGACUUGCCUGCCUGCGGCCUGCGGCGUGGUUCAAGGAGU